rnacentral:rRNA from 1 species
UACGGAGGGGACUAGCGUUGUUCGGAAUUACUGGGCGUAAAGCGCACGUAGGCGGAUUUGUAAGUCAGGGGUGAAAUCCCGGGGCUCAACCUCGGAACUGCCUUUGAUACUGCAAAUCUCGAGUCCGGAAGAGGUGAGUGGAAUUCCUAGUGUAGAGGUGAAAUUCGUAGAUAUCGGGAGGAACACCGGUGGCGAAGGCGGCGACCUGGGACAAUACUGACGCUGAGGUGCGAAAGCGUGGGGAGCAAACAGG